ACAAUGAAGAGUUUGAUCCUGGCUCAGGAUGAACGCUAGCUACAGGCUUAACACAUGCAAGUCGAGGGGCAGCAUGGUCUUAGCUUGCUAAGGCCGAUGGCGACCGGCGCACGGGUGAGUAACACGUAUCCAACCUGCCGUCUACUCUUGGACAGCCUUCUGAAAGGAAGAUUAAUACAAGAUGGCAUCAUGAGUCCGCAUGUUCACAUGAUUAAAGGUAUUCCGGUAGACGAUGGGGAUGCGUUCCAUUAGAUAGUAGGCGGGGUAACGGCCCACCUAGUCUUCGAUGGGUAGGGGUUCUGAGAGGAAGGUCCCCCACAUUGGAACUGAGACACGGUCCAAACUCCUACGGGAGGCAGCAGUGAGGAAUAUUGGUCAAUGGGCGAGAGCCUGAACCAGCCAAGUAGCGUGAAGGAUGACUGCCCUAUGGGUUGUAAACUUCUUUUAUAAAGGAAUAAAGUUGGGUAUGGAUACCCGUUUGCAUGUACUUUAUGAAUAAGGAUCGGCUAACUCCGUGCCAGCAGCCGCGGUAAUACGGAGGAUCCGAGCGUUAUCCGGAUUUAUUGGGUUUAAAGGGAGCGUAGAUGGAUGUUUAAGUCAGUUGUGAAAGUUUGCGGCUCAACCGUAAAAUUGCAGUUGAUACUGGAUAUCUUGAGUGCAGUUGAGGCAGGCGGAAUUCGUGGUGUAGCGGUGAAAUGCUUAGAUAUCACGAAGAACUCCGAUUGCGAAGGCAGCCUGCUAAGCUGCAACUGACAUUGAGGCUCGAAAGUGUGGGUAUCAAACAGGAUUAGAUACCCUGGUAGUCCACACGGUAAACGAUGAAUACUCGCUGUUUGCGAUAUACAGCAAGCGGCCAAGCGAAAGCGUUAAGUAUUCCACCUGGGGAGUACGCCGGCAACGGUGAAACUCAAAGGAAUUGACGGGGGCCCGCACAAGCGGAGGAACAUGUGGUUUAAUUCGAUGAUACGCGAGGAACCUUACCCGGGCUUAAAUUGCAGAUGAAUUACGGUGAAAGCCGUAAGCCGCAAGGCAUCUGUGAAGGUGCUGCAUGGUUGUCGUCAGCUCGUGCCGUGAGGUGUCGGCUUAAGUGCCAUAACGAGCGCAACCCUUGUUGUCAGUUACUAACAGGUUCUGCUGAGGACUCUGACAAGACUGCCAUCGUAAGAUGUGAGGAAGGUGGGGAUGACGUCAAAUCAGCACGGCCCUUACGUCCGGGGCUACACACGUGUUACAAUGGGGGGUACAGAGGGCCGCUACCACGCGAGUGGAUGCCAAUCCCCAAAACCUCUCUCAGUUCGGACUGGAGUCUGCAACCCGACUCCACGAAGCUGGAUUCGCUAGUAAUCGCGCAUCAGCCACGGCGCGGUGAAUACGUUCCCGGGCCUUGUACACACCGCCCGUCAAGCCAUGGGAGCCGGGGGUACCUGAAGUGCGUAACCGCGAGGAGCGCCCUAGGGUAAAACUGGUGACUGGGGCUAAGUCGUAACAAGGUAGCCGUACCGGAAGGUGCGGCUGGAACACCUCCUUU
rnacentral:rRNA from 1 species